UGUUACUUGGUAUAAAUGUUUUCCCUUCCUUCCUCUGUUCCUACCCAGGUCCAGAAAGUGCCUACUCACCUUGUGGCCAGCCUGUCACAUUAGAGACGACAGCUUGCCUGAUCUGCUCAUUCCAGGUUCCAAAUCAGGACACCACCUUACAUAUUAGUUGUCGCCUCCAAACUGUGGUAACUUGUUCCUUGUCUUUCA
rnacentral:lncRNA from 1 species